AUUGAACGCUGGCGGCAUGCUUUACACAUGCAAGUCGAACGGCAGCGCGGGCUUCGGCCUGGCGGCGAGUGGCGAACGGGUGAGUAAUACAUCGGAACGUGCCCAGUAGUGGGGGAUAGCUCGGCGAAAGCCGGAUUAAUACCGCAUACGACCUGAGGGUGGAAGCGGGGGAUCUUCGGACCUCGCGCUAUUGGAGCGGCCGAUGGCAGAUUAGCUAGUUGGUGGGGUAAAGGCCUACCAAGGCGACGAUCUGUAGCUGGUCUGAGAGGACGACCAGCCACACUGGGACUGAGACACGGCCCAGGCUCCUACGGGAGGCAGCAGUGGGGAAUUUUGGACAAUGGGCGAAAGCCUGAUCCAGCAAUGCCGCGUGUGUGAUGAAGGCCUUCGGGUUGUAAAGCACUUUUGGCGGGAACGAAAAGGACUGUGCCAAUACCACGGUUCGAUGACGGUACCCGCAGAAUAAGCACCGGCUAACUACGUG
rnacentral:rRNA from 1 species